rfam:Desulfomicrobium baculatum DSM 4028, complete genome.
GGGGCCGCCCUGGUUUCGACGGGGAUGAUGAGGCCAAAGUUGCAGGUCGAGGUGCUGGGAGGUCCUCGUCAAAACCCAGCAGAAACAUAAUUGCCAAUGACAAUUAUGACUACGCAAUGGCUGCCUAGUAAAUAGGUAACCCUUGCAUGACGACCAAGGUCGUCACAUCCGUGCGGUGGAUGUCUGAUAAUCCGUAUCCGGGUGGCAAACCCCAUCAGGCUGGCGAAAGGUUACUGUCUGGAUGACCAAUCGCGAGACAAAUUCCGGGCUGGCGCCAAGGAAGCCCGUUCAGGGGCUAACCGUGGAGCGAGAAGCAAAACCUGAACUAAACCUGUAGAAGCUUUGCGCGGAGCAUUCUCGGACGGGAGUUCGAUUCUCCCCGGCUCCACCA